UUACGGCCAUAUCACACUAAAACACUGGUUCUUGUACGAUCACCGACGUUAAGCAAUAUCGAGCCAGGUAAGUACCGAGAUAGUUGACCGCUUGGG